rnacentral:rRNA from 1 species
GAUGAACGCUGGCGGCGUGUCUAAUACAUGCAAGUCGAGCGAAUGGAUUAAGAGCUUGCUCUUAUGAAGUUAGCGGCGGACGGGUGAGUAACACGUGGGUAACCUGCCCAUAAGACUGGGAUAACUCCGGGAAACCGGGGCUAAUACCGGAUAACAUUUUGAACCGCAUGGUUCGAAAUUGAAAGGCGGCUUCGGCUGUCACUUAUGGAUGGACCCGCGUCGCAUUAGCUAGUUGGUGAGGUAACGGCUCACAAAGGCAACGAUGCGUAGCCGACCGGGGAGGGGGAGCGGCCACACUGGGACUGAGACACGGCCCAGACUCCUACGGGAGGCAGCAGGAGGGAAUGUUCCGCAAUGGACGAAAGUCUGACGGAGCAACGCCGCGUGAGUGAUGAAGGCUUUCGGGUCGUAAAACUCUGUUGUUAGGGAAGAACAAGUGCUAGUUGAACAAGCUGGCACCUUGACGGUACCUAACCAGAAAGCCACGGCUAACUACGUGCCAGCAGCCGCCGUAA